UACGGGGGGGGCAAGCGUUGUUCGGAAUUACUGGGCGUAAAGGGCUCGUAGGUGGCCAACUAAGUCAGACGUGAAAUCCCUCGGCUUAACCGCGGAACUGCGUCUGAUACUGGAUGGCUUGAGUUCGGGAGAGGGAUGCGGAAUUCCAGGUGUAGCGGUGAAAUGCGUAGAUAUCUGGAGGAACACCUGUGGCGAAAGCGGCGCACUGGACCACAUCUGACGCUGAGGCGCGAAAGCUAGGGGAGCAAACAGG
rnacentral:rRNA from 1 species